UGCCAAGUUUAUUCCAAAAAGAUAUAUCAAAGUUUCAUCUUAUCAUGCAAAAAAUAUGGUAAUUAGUUGGAUAUGAAAUUAAAUUGAGCCAACCAUAUUACUGUUUUGUCCUGAGUGAUCCAUUGAACCAAGUAAUCUAAAAUAUUCUUAAUAAGUCAAUGAUAGAUGCAAAGAAUCUGUAUAUAUCCUUCUGGCAAUCAUUAUAUUAGAUACAGUCCAUCACUUAAGGAAAAAAAAAAAAAAUCUCUUUCAUUUAUAUUCUUGUUCAACCUAUCUUUGAAUUUAUUUAUCUAUAUUGUUAAAGCAGAUCUAUCGAGAGAACCUAAACUAAUUCAUUCAUUUAGUUAUUAUUGUCCUUUGGCUUAAUUCUUUUCUAAUUAUAUAGAACUUAACUAUAAUGCAACCUUUAUAGCUACAUGCUUGCUGUGCCGAAUAAUGAAGCAAAGUGAGAAGUUCAUCGCACUAUUUUUAUUAUAUUUUUUAUCACAUGAUUGAUUAAUAAUAUUGCAAUUUUUCUUUAUUGUUUGAUAAAAUAAUUAACUCUCUUUGAAUUUCGCUGCUUAUAGUGUUCCGUCCUCAUAAAGGUAUGUUCGUACCAUUAACUCAUGAUUCAGGAUUCAAUCUGAAAAUUUUAAUCUUUUCUCCAAUAGAUAAAAUAUGGGAGAUUAGAAUUACAGUUGCAACA
rnacentral:lncRNA from 1 species